rnacentral:rRNA from 1 species
GGUAACGGCCACCAAAGCGACGAUCAGUAGCCGGCCUGAGAGGGUGGACGGCCACAUUGGGACUGAGACACGGCCCAGACUCCUACGGGAGGCAGCAGUGGGGGAUAUUGCACAAUGGGGGAAACCCUGAUGCAGCGACGCCGCGUGGAGGAAGAAGGUUUUCGGUAUGUAAAGCUCUAUCAGCAGGGAAGAAACUGACGGUACCUGACUAAGAAGCACCGGCUAAAUAC